ensembl:misc_RNA 7SK 7SK RNA
AGAUGUAAAGGUGAUUUGUUGGCCAUAGUCAACCCAUUUAUUUCCAAGGUUGAUUCUGUGGAUCUGGCUGUUUUUGUGGGGAUCUCCUUCUCCCUCAUUGCUCCAUGUCUCCUUCUCCUUGUAUGCUCCACCCUAGGUUACAUACUUGAUAGAAGAAAAUUACUUUCUAGAUGCAGGAAGAUCAUUUUUCAUCAGGGGUUGUCUGAGUAGCCAUCUAGGAUUGCCAAAAAGAUCUUAAGAAGAAAUAUUACAGUGUGAGGAAAAU